GGGGCGGGUGGUUCGAGAACCGCGGGUGUUCCGGCGACGAUUACGCGAAAAGUCCGGCGUCAGAGCGUCACACGUCCCCGGUUGUCGCGUUCGCGCGUUUACCGGACCGGUGCGUUCAAACGUUGCGUACGACGCGCGCGCGCGUUUCCCGGCUGCGUGCGUACCGGAGGACGCGGGAAAAACGAUAGUUUAGAAAAAAAAAAAAAAUUAAAAUAUAGAGAAAUGAAAAUGAAAACGUACGGGCGAAUACCGCGGGCGAUACGGGCGAGACGACCGACCGCGUUCCGAACACCACCGGCGGGGGCGGAAAACGGAAAGAAAAAACGAAAAAAAAAUUUAAAAAAAAAAAAACGAACGACCGCGUUUUAUCGUUUCGAGUGUCCGGCGACGAAAUUUCAGACAGCCGUCGCACGUCUCCGUGGUCAUAAGCGAUAAU